CGGGGUGGAGUAAUGUCUGGGAAACUGCCUGAUGAGGGGGAGUAACUGCUGAAACGGUAGCUAAUACCGCAUAACGUCGCAGGACCAAAGAGGGGGACCUUCGGGCCUCUUGCCAUCGGAUGUGCCCAGAUGGGAUUAGCUAGUAGGUGGGGUAACGGCUCACCUAGGCGACGAUCCCUAGCUGGUCUGAGAGGAUGACCAGCCACACUGGAACUGAGACACGGUCCAG
rnacentral:rRNA from 1 species